GACGAACGCUGGCGGCGUGCUUAACACAUGCAAGUCGAACGGGCCUUGUCCCCUUUUUUUUGGGGGUGGGGUUAGUGGCGAACGGGUGAGUAACACGUGAGUAACCUGCCCCUCACUUCUGGAUAACCGCUUGAAAGGGUGGCUAAUACGGGGUGUUCUGGCCUGCUCGCAUGGGUGGGUUUGGAAAGAUUCGACCGGUUUUGGUUGUUUUGGUGGGGGAUGGGCUCGCGGCCUAUCAGCUUGUUGGUGGGGUGAUGGCCUGCCAAGGCUUUGACGGGUAGCCGGCCUGAGAGGGUGGGCGGUCACACUGGGACUGAGACACGGCCCAGACUCCUACGGGAGGCAGCAGUGGGGAAUAAUGCACAAUGGGCGCAAGCCUGAUGCAGCGACGCCGCGUGAGGGAUGGAGGCCUUCGGGUUGUGAACCUCUUUCGCCAGUGAAGAAGGUCCUGCUCUUUGUGGUGGGGUUGACGGUAGCUGGGUUAAUGAAGCGCCGGCUAACUACGUG
rnacentral:rRNA from 1 species